rnacentral:rRNA from 1 species
UCACAUACAAUAAGCGGAGGAAAAGAAACCAACAGGGAUGGCCCUAGUAACGGCGAGUGAAGCGGCAACAGCUCAAAUUUGAAAUCUGGCGCAAGCCCGAGUUGUAAUUUGUAGAGGAUGCUUCUGGGUAGCGACCGAUCUAAGUUCCUUGGAACAGGACGUCAUAGAGGGUGAGAAUCCCGUAUGUGACCGGCCCGCACCCUUUACGUAGCUCCUUCGACGAGUCGAGUUGUUUGGGAAUGCAGCUCUAAAUGGGAGGUAAAUUUCUUCUAAAGCUAAAUACCGGCCAGAGACCGAUAGCGCACAAGUAGAGUGAUCGAAAGAUGAAAAGUACUUUGGAAAGAGAGUUAAAAAGCACGUGAAAUUGUUGAAAGGGAAGCGCCUGCAACCAGACUUCGCGGCAGUGUUCCGCCGGUCUUCUGACCGGUUCAUUCUCUGUCGCGAGGCCAUCAUCGUCUGGGCCCGCCGGAUAAGACCUUAGGAAUGUAGCUCACCUUCGGGGGAGUGUUAUAGCCUACGGUGAUGCGGCGAGGCCCGGGCGAGGUCCGCGCUUCGGCAAGGAUGAUGGCGUAAUGGUUGUCGGCGGCCCGUCUUGAAACACGGACCAAGGAGUCUAACAUCUAUGCGAGUGUUCGGGUGUCAAACCCCUACGCGUAAUGAAAGUGAACGGAGGUGGGAACCGCAAGGUGCACCAUCGACCGAUCCUGAUGUCCUCGGAUGGAUUUGAGUAAGAGCAUAGCUGUUGGGACCCGAAAGAUGGUGAACUAUGCCUGAAUAGGGUGAAGCCAGAGGAAACUCUGGUGGAGGCUCGCAGCGGUUCUGACGUGCAAAUCGAUCGUCAAAUUUGGGUAUAGGGGCGAAAGACUAAUCGAACCAUCUAGUAGCUGGUCCUGG